rnacentral:rRNA from 1 species
GCCAGCAGCCGCGGUAAUACGUAUGGGGCAAGCGUUAUCCGGAUUCAUUGGGCGUAAAGAGCGCGUAGGCGGAUUGUUAAGUCAGAUGUGAAAACCGGGGGCUCAACCCGCGGCCUGCAUCUGAAACUGGCAGUCUUGAGUCUGGUAGAGGAAAGUGGAAUUCCUGGUGUAGCGGUGAAAUGCGCAGAUAUCAGGAGGAACACCAGUGGCGAAGGCGGCUUUCUGGGCCACGACUGACGCUGAGGCGCGAAAGCUAGGGGAGCAAACAGGAUUAGAUACCCUGGUAGUCCUAGCCGUAAACGAUGGGCACUAGGUGUGGGGGGUCAUCGACUCCCUCCCUGCCGAAGCUAACGCAUUAAGUGGCCCCCCUGGGGAGUACGGGCCCCAGGGUAAAACUCAAAGGAAUUGACCGGGGCC